UCCAUCAUAGUAGACAUUUUAGAAUUCAAAACUCCAAUUUCCUAAACAACCUUAGUAAAGUAAUUUCUCAAUUAAACUUCAGAGGCUACAAAGAUAGAGAGGUUAGACUACAAGUGCAGAAAUAGUAGAGAAUUGUUCAUUUUUGAGAUCCACUUGGAAGAGACAAUUAUUGGAGAUCGGAAGUUCGUGGUUUUAGCAGGAUCUUUGAGGUUACAAGAAGUAGAUCAAGAUGUCUUGUGGAGUUGGGGAGGCAGCAUCUAGCUAUAAAUUCAUAUUGUCUAUAGUGAAGAUAACUGGCUUGGUCUCCAAGUUUUUAUCCAGAAACGGAGUUCAACAAGGAAUGCAAGAAAUUAGAGCUUGGGUAGAUUAGAUUUUUGUGUUUUUACCACCUUAACUUUAAUUGUAUAGUUUUGUCAAGGAAUGCAAAAGGAGAGUUUGUUAGGUUUUAUGUAAUUGGCAAUUUCGUGAACAAAGGGAUCGAAAUAAAAUUUUUGUAAAAAGUCAUGGAGUUAGUUGCAAUAUUGUAUAGUUGAGUUACACAAGUUAGGAUUCGAGUUCGGAAUAAGGAAAAAAGAGACUUCGCAAUUUUGUCAA